UACAGAGGAGCCAAGCGUUGUCCGGAUUGACUGGGCGUAAAGCGCACGUAGGCGGAUCUUUAAGUCAGGGGUGAAAUCCCAAGGCUCAACCUUGGAACUGCCUUUGAUACUGGGGAUCUCGAGUCCGGAAGAGGUGAGUGGAACUGCGAGUGUAGAGGUGAAAUUCGUAGAUAUUCGCAAGAACACCAGUGGCGAAGGCGGCUCACUGGUCCGGAACUGACGCUGAGGUGCGAAAGCGUGGGGAGCAAACAGG
rnacentral:rRNA from 1 species